ensembl:lncRNA
UUAAAAGGACAAAAUAGGAGCCCGGCUGUGGGUCAGGGCAGAUACCUUCAAGGCUUUUCCCAGCCAGGCCCAGCCCGGUGGCUGUUGCUUGCUGUUGAGGUUGAGGGCUGAUAAAGAAAGACUUCCUCCAACUUCUAAGGUCCACAAAGAGCAGAGAAUAUCCUGGUGUUCUGGAGGUCAGAGUAUCUGAAAAGAGUCUCACGGGACUAAAACCAAGGUGUUGGCAGCAUUGGUUCCUUCUGGAGACUCCAGGGGAGAAGCCGUUCCCUGCCUCUUCCAGCUUCCGGAGGCUGUCUGCAUUCCCUGGCUUGGCUGCAUCACUUCAACCUCUGCUUCUGUGGUCACAUCACCUUCUUCCACUGCUCAUUCUGAUCUCCUACCUCCUCGUAUAAGGGUCCUUGUGAUUACACCAGGCCCACCUGGUGGUGGGUCAUCCCAGCUAAUCCAGGAUAAUCUCCCCACCUCAAGAUUCUUGACGUAAUCACACUUGAAAAGUCCCUUUUGCCAUAGAAGGCAACAGUCACAGGUUCCAGAGCUGAGGACGUGGACAUCUUUGGGGGGUCAUUUUUCAGCCUUCCACGGAAGGCAACUGUAUUCCCAUACCAGGCUCACUGUUUUCUUUAUGCCAUCUCUAAUGCUCACAACAUCCUGUGACAUAAGUGUGAUAUUCAAUAUAAGUGUUAUAUUCAGUUUGCAGAUGAGAAAUCUGAGGCUCAGAGAUGCUAAAUAAUUAACUUGUGUCACACAGUCUCUAAGGAGUAGAGACAGAAUUCAAAGCCAGAUCUGCCCAACUAAAGCUCAUUCUCCUUUAACAACUAUCAGUAUCCCCCUUUUACAGAUCAUAACCAUCUAUCAAUGAAAACAGCCCCAUACAGGUUGGGGAGGCACCAGUGACUUCAUGAAUUCUUCCUCCAUUUCCACAAUUAUACAAUUAAUCCAGAAAUCUGGGCCAGUAGGAAUCAGCCACUUUUAUUUCAUGAGCAAAAGUGUUCCUAAAAUGCUGAGAAUGUAAACACAACUGUAGAAUAUGGUGAAACUCAGGACAGAACAUCCCCUACGACGUGGAAGAAAGGAGGCCUUCGCCAUGUCUCUCUGUGGGGGACAUGUCGAUGGAGUCGGGAACGACUUCUCUCAGUGUGCUGAGGUACAUUCUGUGAUCUCCUGGGAAGGGGUGGCUGUGUUUUUCUAUGAGUUUUGCAGUCAUUUCUGUCUUAGAGUCUGAAGGACCUAAGCACAGUCAUCACUUAACCACAGGAGCUAUUGACUCCCUUCCCUUCAGUAAACACUGUGGGGAGGUUCUUUCUGCUUCCUCCUUGCAGCCAUGGUAACCGUUGUUGGGUAAUCCAUGGUUGCCAGACUCCUCAACCGAAGUGAGAUUUUUGAAAAACCUGAUGUCAUAUCCAGGACAAACACGAAAAGUCCUUCUAACCAUACUAGGCUCCUUAAUAACUAUGGUGUUUCAGAAGAAAUUUAUACGCCCUAAUAUGCCCCUUCCUACUACUGCGGAAAGCGUCAUUCACACAGAGAUCUGUCUCUAUUCUGAGAGUAGAGGGAAAAAUAAUGAUUAGAGUUAUUGCAUAUAAAAUGCUUGUUGGGCCAGAAUCCAUGGGUGGACUAAUUCAGCUGUUCUGCCUUCCUCAGGCAGGAAUAAUAUGAUUCCCAUUUCACAGACGAGAAAGUUGAUGUCUGGAAAGUGGAGCCCUGUGUCAAAGCUGCGUGUCAGUAAGAGUAGAGCUGGGAUUUGAACCCGCUGUGAAUGAUUCUAGGCUAGGGGCUGUGCUGUGAGCCAAUCUUGUGAGUCAGCCUUACGUAUAGAUUCCAUACUGUCCAUUAUGUGUGUUUAUUUUGUUAUCAACUAGCUUUCUAGUUCUGGAGAUAAAACCAAGGAUGAGUUCUUCUUCUCACUGAGGGAGCUUUUACCCAGAAAACACAGACUUUCAAGAAACAGGUUGAGCCAAGGCGAACUUUCUCUGAUGGGGAGAAUGGAAGGAUGCCCUGCCAAAAGGGAGAAGUUAAGGCCCUCAGUGACCCCUCCAGCUGCACGUUCCAGCCUGUGGGACGGCAGAGGAGCCCUGGGGCCUCAAGCCCUGCUUGCUCCCUUGAAGCUGGUGUGGUCUUGGCUCCUGUGCACAACGGCCAGGCAUCCGGGACCUGCGAUGACCUGGCAUAAGUCACCUGCCGAUCCUUUAACAGUGAACAGCUGGAGUCUAAUCACACUCAAACAUUCAAACUCUGCUGCUUUAUCUCGACGCUCUAUCAGCCAGCUUUAUAAAUGGAAAGACAGCACGGAAACCAGAGGAAGACAGUCUUCUUAUAAAGUUACAUUUAUUUGUUUGAGGGGCUGUAGUCCCCAAAGUGGAUUUUCCCAGGGGCCCCUUCCACGGCAGCAUGCUACCACACUGUGAGGAAUUUAUACUAUUAUUAGGAAUAUUAUUACAUAUUAUAUAUAUUUUUAUAUUAUGUAUUAAUAUGUUAGGGAUAUAAUUUUUAUUGAACUAUCUGGACCUUAUUGAACCCUCAGGUGUAUGUUAACAUUCUUUUUUUUUUUUUUGAGGAGGAUUAACCCUGAGCUAACAUUCAUGCCCAUCUUCCUCAACCUUAUAUGUGGGACACCUACCACAGCAUGGCUUGACAAGCGGUGCACAGGUCCACACCUGGGACCUGAACCAGCAAACCCUGGGCUGUCGAAGCAGAAUAUGCUAACUUAACCACUGUGCCACCAGGCUGGCCACAAGGUUAACAUUCUUAAUGUGUAUAAAGAGUUCUUAUAAAUCCACACAGGAAUAAAGACGAACAACGCCACACAAAAAUAGGAGAAAUAAAGAAAUAAACCGUUCACAAAGAAAAGAAAUAUAAAGUGCAAAAAAUGGUAAGAAAGUAGUCAAUCUUACUCUUAAUGAAAACAAUUUAAAAUAAAUGAGUUGCUAUAUUUACCUUCCAAAUUUUCAGAAAAAAACCCCCAAAAGAUUUAGAACUCCAUGCUGUAGAGAGUAUGAAAAAAUAGAGUUAUAUAUUCUGUAGUGAGAGCAUACAUUUGCUUGAAUUAUUACAGAAGGGCAUGUUGGAAAAAAAUAUAUAUAACCUUUAAAGAGAUAGAGAGCCAACUCUGAUGGGUCACUGUUUCAGUGGCCCAGGUUCAUCUCCCAGUCACAGAACCACACCACUCGUCUGUCAGUAGCUGUGCUGUGGCAGAGGCUCACAUAGAAGAACUAGAAAGACUUACACCUAGGAUAUACAACCAUGCACUGGGGCUUCAGGGACAAAAAAAUAAAAGAGGAAGAUUGGCAACAGAUGUUAGCUCAGGGUGAAUCUUUCCCUGCAAAAAAUAAAUAAAUAAAGAGAAAGACACAUACAUACCCCAAGGCAUAGAUACACAGAUAUAGAAAUAGAGAUGCACUUACACACAUAUACUGCAUGUCAUUUGACCCAGCAACUAAACUUUCAGGAAUGUGACCUAACAUAGCCAAUCAACUUGGAAAGAUGCUUAAUCUCACUAGAAAUCAGGGAAAUGCAAAUAAAAUACAAGAGACUGUUUUUAAUCAGAGCGGCAACAAUUCCAAGUUUUAUCACAUAAACAUGGGCAGGCUUGUAGUGACACACACACCCUCAUCAGAUCUCUAGUGGAAGUGUUAUUUGUGUAGCCACUUUGAUGGGAGAUUUGACAGGAUCCUUUAAAAUUAAAAACGUGCCUUCGCUUUGUUGUUGUUAAUGCAUGGAGUUGAUUCCGACUCCUAGCGCCCCUGUGUACAGCACAGUGGAACCCUGACCAAUCUUUUUGCGCCAUCCUCUCACUUUCUGGCACUGUAUCAGACAACACUCUGCUGCUAUUCAUAGGUUUUCAUGGUCAAGUAUUUUGGGAGUGGGCAGCCAGCUCCUUUUUCCUAGUCUGUCUAAUCGAGAAGCUCUGCUGAAGCCUGUCCACCACGGGUGACCCUGCUUGUGUGUGAAAUACCAGUGGCAUAGCUUUCAGCAUCCCAGCAACACACAGCCACCACAGUAUGACAACAGACAGAUGGGCAGUGUGGUUCCCUUACUGGGGAACUGAACCUGGGCUGCUUCUGGGGCGGUGGGUACACCAGACCUUAACCAUUAGACCACUGUGACUUCUCUAUGAUCCAACCAUUCUGCUUCUCUGAAUCUUCCCAGAGAAACAUUUGCACAUGUGCAGGAGGAAAAGAUCUAAUGCAGCCUUUCUUGUCUUACCAAUAACUAAAAAGAGCCCAAAUACCUGGCAAGGGGGAAAUAGCUCAAUAAGCAGGGGUUUGUCCUCGUUGUGGAAUCCUACGCAGCACUUACAGAGAGGGGUGCAGAGCUUCCUCUGCUGACAUAGAAACACCUCUAAGAUACGCUGCUGAGUGAAUAUGUAUACAGCGUGUUAGCAUCUGUGCACCACUUCCAGCCUCACAAAUAAAAACUAUCCAGCACUAUAUAUUUUACUUAGAUCCAUGAAAAUACAUGCAAACACCUUAAAAAAGAGGAGGACAUGCAUUAACCAAUAACAGUAGUUAUCUCUAUAACAAUGACUGUGACCAGAUUAAAGCUGGUUAUUAAUAGGGACUUUACUCACAUCUGUAAUGCUUUAUUACCAAGAGCAUGUGUUCAUUCAGUACAUGUGUAUUUUUAAAAUAUUUAAAAGAAUGAUUGCAAAGAUUUUGCUACACUGAUACUUAUCAAGGCAUUAUUUGGAGUCCUGAAAAUUUGGAAAUAACCUAAAUGUCCAACAGGAAGGAAUACAUCGUGGGAUAUCUCGUGAUGGAUUACAACACAACUGUCGAAAUAAUAUUUAGAAGUCUACUAAAUAACAGAAGGGAAAUGUCCACCAUAAUUGUCCAGGGGAAAAAGCAGAUUACCAAACAGUGUGUAAUUAAAUACCAGUCAACUGAUGGGUCCAAAGCAGAGAUGUCAGAUUCCAAAAUAUGCUAGCCAAAAGGCUUUCUAAAGGCUCCGUAACACCAAAGACAACAAUGUGGGUGAUAGAAAUAAUGAUCCCACUGAGAUGAUGGAAUGACCAAGAGCCACAGAAACUGACAAAGAGGAGAGCUUGGCCAGGCAGCUGGGUGGAGCAUGGAAGCAAAGUGCUACGAUGCUGCUGAGGGUGAAUCAGUAUCAACUUCUGCUCGUUCCAGACCCUUCUGGAGUCCAGGCCCAAACUGCAGUUGGCCUAGCUGUACCCAGAGAAUCUGAUCCUUCACUGGUUGUGUGACCAGCAGCAAGGCAGUCUUGUCUCCUUCCUCCAGCUUCUUCAGCGGGGACUCGGUCAGGCCAAGGACAAUGGCUUCCUCCUGUUGGAAGAUCUUUUCAGACUAGAGAGUGUGACCCCCAACUGCGCAGGGCACCUGCAAGUUGCUGAAUAACAACAUGCAUUCCAGACUCAACUCUUCAUUUCCUCCAUGGAGCACCGAGCCCCAUACUGCCUUCCUAGGGCAAUGCUAGGUGGUUAACACCCACAAGCCCCUUUCUCUUUGGCUUAUCGAGAAAGUGGUUCGUGUUCAUUAAAUCAUGAGAAGUGUCAGACAAAAUGGCAAAAGUCCCCCUCAAAAGUCAAGAAUGAAUGUUAGAAAACUAAGUGGUAGAAUUACUCACAGAGAAACUCUUUCAUGGAGUAGAUAGAUUUCACUUUAUGAAAAAGGAACAGAGAGAAAGAAGAGAGAACAGAAAGAAGGGGUGAGCGGGAAAGAGGAGAGAGAGAGAGAGAAGAGGUAACGACCAGACCAGAGAGUUUGCCAGAGUCACACAUGACUGUUUAUUUCUAACUGCCCACUGCUGCCAGCGGCACUGUGCUCUCCCUUUGGUGGAGUGGGGGAAGAGCAGCAAGAUAAGAUAAGGGGGCAGAAGAAAGUCCAAUUUGAAAACCCCCAAGUGGAGAAUAAUCUGAGUCCUAAGCACUGGGCAGUUGUGGUUAAAGCAAUUACAAUAAGCAAUCAACCAACCAAACAAAUCCAUGUCUCUACCUGCGUUUGGGGAUAGAGAAGAGGAAGCAUAAAAUGAGGAGCAACAGGAUGAAGCGUUUCCGAUGCUGCAGGUGAACGUCAGGUGCCCAGAUGGGUUCCAGAAGCUGAGAGCCUCAAUUUAUUGAGUUCGAUUUAUUUCCGCCAUUGUUAAUAAUAAGCUGUGAUCAAUUUAAUUUAUCUCUUUCAUUGUCCAUUUUCCCUCUACUGUGUUUAAAUCCUCUUCCCCUCCCUCUUGCUUUUAGGCCUGCAGGGAGCAGUUACUCUUAAUGAAGGGGACCAGCAAUUCAAAGUCCCUCCAUUGUUUUAUAACAAGUGGUUCCUUGCAUGGAAAGGAAGCGCCUAGAAAGGGCAGAUGGGGUUGGAAAGUUCCUAACAGAACUGCAGACUUGCCCGGGUCGAGUGGAAGAACUCGUGAAACCUGCACGCCAACUUCAGGGAUCUGAAUAACAAUUGGCUUUGCUGCUGCCGUUCAGCUUGCAAAGACAUUUAAAAGCUUUCUUGCAUGAUUUGUCAAUGGAUUUACUUAAACAAUUUACAUCCUGACUCUGAGAAUAGGUCUGUGCUUUUGAGCAAUACUGACACCCAGUGUUUGAAACGUUAGGACUGAAAGAAAAAUCAGACUGUGCAGGGACAAGGAAGAAGAGACUAGAAGAGCUCUCAUUCAUUGAGGACCUACGCAUUGUACAGAUGGAGGUUCAGAAAGGGGAAGUGACGAUGAGCUGGGCCGUCUUCCUGCUCUGCACCAGGCUUGCUCUACUCAAAAGUGAACGUGGGGGCUGGCCCAGUGGCAUAGUGAUUAAGUUCAUGUGCUCCACUUUGGUGGCCUGGCGCUUGUGGGUUCGGAUCCCAGGUGUGGACCUACACACCACUCAUCAAGCCAUAUGGUGGCAGCAAGUCACAUACAAAAUAGAGGAAGAUUGGCACAGAUUGGCUCAGGGCCAAUCCUCCUCCUCUACCCCCCACCCCCUAAAAAGUUAAUGUGGGUGUCCGGGUGUAGAAAAGAUUAUUCAGUGACUAUCUGGUUUGAAAAAUUAAUAUUCAACUUAUGGGAGUUACAAAAUUUAAAAAAUAAGCUAGUUUUUACGUUCAACUUCCAAAUCUUAUUUUAUUUAUUAGUAAAGUACGUUCACAGCAAUCAUAUUUACUAUUUGGGAAAGUCUGUCAAUCAGCAAUUGAAAUACUUAAGAAGAAACCUGAAUAUUAAAAAAUAGGGAAAUACACUUAGAAUAUUUAAGGGGGCUAAUUAAGUUUAUCAUGGGAUCCCCUCAAACAUUGUAAUUCCAUUUGUAAACUUAUCAUAUUAAGACACCUUUUUGAGCACAUCUGCCUGAAAAGCCUUUCCAAAUACUUUAUAAUAACUUUUUAAAAUCAGAUGAAACAAAAUAUAAAUAAGGCAGUUUGUUAAGUUUGUGAAAUGACUCAAUAUUGUUUUCAAACAUAAAAUAAUUAAUCUUGUUCCUUUCCGUUUAAUAUGUGUAAAUAACUGAAAAGCACAUUUUAAAUUGGAAUCACAAGGCUCAUUAGUUAGAUCCUUCAAUAGGGCAAAUGAUCUUUAAUACGAUAAGUACAUUACAUUCCAAGUAAACACAGAUUAUCCUGAAAUAUAAUACAAUGGUAUUAAUGAUGGAUUUGGUUUACAUAUUAAUCCAAAUCUUCUUGGUGUUAAAAAGCAUUUACCCUAUAAAGAAACUGUAUGUCAACCUGACCCAUGUCCAUUCUGCUUUCUAUGUUGAUGCUCAAGGUUACUCGUCAGCCCCCCGGACUGUAGUACCGAUCCAUCCUAUGACGUUAAUGGGACACAGGAGAAUAAUUUAUAGCCGCCAUAGCCCAUGCCCUUCAAAUUGUAGGGUGUAGUGGUCCACACCUUUGGGUUUGAGAUAUUUAGAUCUUGCGUUCCUCCUCAAUUCCCACCCAGAUUGUAGUUGACUUCCUUUUCUGCUUCAGUUGGAUCUGCAUUUCUUUGACUCCUUUGUGUACCAAUGCCCACUAAAUUAUGAUACGAUAAUUUGAUAAUUUCCUAUCACUUAGAAUUUUUAUUAUAAAUUUACUGUAAGUUCUCUCUUGGACUUAAUUAUAUUUUGAAUAUAGAAUCACCUUUUGUACACCUAAAAAGAAAGUAAAUGUAAAAUAAAUUGGUGAACUUCUU